rnacentral:lncRNA from 1 species
GUCUUCGUUGGGUACCACUUCUACACCCACAACACCAAACCCUUCCAGUUCCACUACUUCAAGGACGAUGAAGAGGAGGAAGACGCUCCACCUGCAGACGGCAGUCGCAGCAUCUGUAACCCGGUUUAUGAAGCGGCGCCUGAAGGGGCCCCGGAGGCCCAGCACCAGGUGGAGGCCCAGCACCAGGUGGAGGCCCAGCACCAGGUGGAGGCCCUGCACCAGGUGGAGGCCCAGCACCAGGUGGAGGCCCAGCACCAGGUGGAGGCCCUGCACCAGGUGGAGGCCCAGCACCAGCCGGAGGCCCAGCACCAGGUGGAGGCCCUGCACCAGGUGGAGGACCUGCACCAGGUGGAGGACCUGCACCAGCCGGAGGCCCAGCACCAGCCGGAGGCCCAGCACCAGCCGGAGGCCCAGCACCAGGUGGAGGCCCAGCACCAGGUGGAGGCCCAGCACCAGGUGGAGGCCCUGCACCAGGUGGAGGACCUGCUGCAGGACAGUUGAGCUGCUCACUGCGGGACUGGAACCCUCAGAACCAUUGAAGACAUCCGAGCAGGCUUUCAUCGUGGACUCACGACAUACCUUUGAUGGUCUCUGGGACCUGAACCGGCUCCCAGGCUGCUGAUGGAGCCAAAGAUUCA